GGCCGGUGUGCGUCGCUCGACUGGAUCCAUCGCAGGUGCGGGAUCGAGGAAGUCGAUGCGUGCGCUGGGAUCAGCCGGAGGAGCGGGAUCCAGGUCCAGCCGAUGCAGUCCAGUACGUGAGCGAGGGUUGGACUGUUGGACCGGCCAGUAGCGCUACCACAACCUCGCCCCCAUGCUCCGCCGCGGCGCCGCCGCCAUAGUAGUCUAUGACAUCACUAGCACGGUGAGAGAGAUCUUCUCUUCUCCUCGGUACUUCGUUGAGCGAUCUUCUCUAAAUAUGUGCCGGAUGAGUUGAUCGACUGCUUUCUGUUCAUGUUAAUCUGUUUGAUUUUUUCUGUGUGGGCGUCAGGACUCUUACAUCCAAGCAACAAAGAGGUGGGUUGACAAGCUUUAAAGACUAGGGAACCCAGGUUUGGUGAUGGCGUUAGUGGGCAACAAGGUUGAUUUAGAAAACAAGAGGUAGGUUGGCACACAGGUACACACAUUUUGCGGACAAAAAUUUCAGAACCCCAGUGCUCCAUCUUUCAGUCAAACCCAUCAUCAUCUCUGUUUUUUCUCUGAACGCGAGCUAAUAGGAGGCACUGGAGAUGUCAGCGAAGAUGGCGACCUAGCCCAGGCGAUACAGCGUACGGCUCUGCGGGAUUGGAAUGAUUCAGGCCUCUGGACCGCACGCCAAUUCACGUUCAUGCCAAUCUCGUCUCGUUGUUCGUCUGUUCGUGAGCGAAACUGUUCCGCCAGGAAUUGAAGGCAAACAAUUACUCUUCAGUUUCUCUUCAGGCAUUCAUGUUGGAUGAUGUCUCUCUCUCGCCAGCGUUGAUUAAUGGAUGUCUGCCUCUCUGUUUUCCCAUCCUUCAGCUGCCGUGUAUAUAUGCUUCCUCCCUAACCUUUUUCAAUCCAGCGACAAAACAUCCAUCAACAUGGUGCUCUGCUAGGUUCCCCUAUAAUCUUCAUUUUUCCCCAUUCAUAUAAUGAUUCCUUCCACCACAAGAUUACAUUGUGCUAAUUUCCUCUCAAUCAAAAAUUUGUAUAGGUGUUGUUCAUACUGGCUUAUGCUCAAUUGAUUCAGGCGGAUCUUGGAGACUGGAUGUCGCAUUUUUUAUUUCAGGAAUUCUCAGCUCAUAUCUCCAAUGGUUUCUAGUGUAGGUAAUUACUUCAGGUGCACUGCUAGACCUUAUCUUUUACCAUCCAUUUUUUGUAUAGUGUAUGACUACUUAGAUUACAUGUUUCUAAGUUAGGAUAUUUACUGUUGUUGGACAGAUUACUUAGAGUUGUACAAAAAAGCGCAAAAAGUGUUACCAUGCUGUUCUAGAAGGGUGUGAAGCCUCAACAUCUUCUUCUUUUAUCCAUACAUGAGGAAAGCCGAAUAAUUAUGUGGACAAUUUCUUUAUCCAUACAUGAGGAAAGCCAAAUAAUUAUGUGGAAAAUUUCUUUAUCCAUAAAUGAGGGAAGCCGAAUUAUUAUGUGGACAAUUUCUUUAUCUAUACAUUUGGAAAGCCAAAUAAGUAUGUGGACAAUUUCUUUAUACAUACAUGAGGAAAGCCAAAUAAUUAUGUCGACAUUUUUUCCUUAAAUGCAUGGUGCAACAUGUAAAUGAAAUCGCUCGGCCCAUAUUAGAUAAAAAUAACAUGAAUGCUUAAUUCAGGACCAUUGCGUGAUGCCACAGCCGAAUACAGUUGUCUCUCAGCGAAGAGAAUACAAAUGCCCUUAUAGGUUAUCUGGUUACCAAAGAUAAUGCUUACCUGCUAUUCAUGUACAUAAUAAUCAACUGAAAUUGAUUCCUUCUUUAGUACCCUUCUGCCUAAUCAGCUACGUAUCAUGGUCGUUCACAUCUAACGGCACCUUAUUAUACAAUGGAAUGCCUAUUGCUUUGAUUUCUUUAUACGCUAACCAUCAACUCUUCUUGUGUGUUAUUUAAUUGGGAGUUGGGCACGGUACUGGAGAAUAUACAAGGAGAGAUUUGAUUCCUCAGGUCACAACCAGCACCUCCACCCCUUAUAAUUUUGUUUUCUAAAAAUACUGCUUAACUUCUAUUAUUCUGCUUACAUAUGAUGUAGCCUUUCAAGAUAUGUUUUAUUUGGUCGAUUGGCUUUUCCAACUAUUGGUGAUUAUAGGUCAAGUUUUGUGUAUGAGCCUAAUGCCAACCCUGUAGGAUUUGUUCUUUAAAUGAUGGUUAGCUUUGGUGCCAGAGGGUUCACAGUGUGAUGCUAAGUAUUAUGAAAACAAGAUGCCCAGUUGCAGUUACCAGCAAGUCACCUCUCUACUACUUAUGUCAUCUUAGGUUUUGGAGGUUAUAAGGAGCUUUCUUUCUUGUUUGAUCAUACCAUGUACUUUGUGUGAUGAUUGCAAUAUCUUCUUGUGGAUCUUACAUAACAAGAAAAGAUAUCAACUAACAGCUUGGUUCCAUGGUUAUGUACACUUAGAAAUACUUAGUUACCUAGGAUCUUCCUGUUUACUCAAUGCAAAAUUUUAUCUUAUGGCAUCUGAACUAUAGUUUGGGUUACUCUA